GUUGGAUAGCACCAAACAAUACUGACAACACUCCUGGGGGAGCUUAUUGCUCGGGCUGCAGAUUGCACUUGCACUUUACACCAUCUCCCUUGGGAGUUCUGAGACAGGUCCAGCAGCAAUCCUAGGGCUGUCCCUGAGUUUUGACGUGAGUUCCUAGUAAAUGGGACUCUCCAGAAAGGGUGGACUUGGCAGGAGAAUCCAGGAACUCCACCCUCAAGAGGGACCCAGCAGAUCCCGCCUUAGGAGCUUGGAACUUACACGUGGUCAAUGAAGUGAGAUCAGUGACUGAGGCAAUGCAACCCCUCAUUGGAGCCUCAUAACCCAAUUCACGCUGUCAAC
rnacentral:RNase_P_RNA from 1 species